UGGGGAAUAUUGCACAAUGGGCGCAAGCCUGAUGCAGCCAUGCCGCGUGUGUGAAGAAGGCCUUCGGGUUGUAAAGCACUUUCAGCGGGGAGGAAGGCGUUAAGGUUAAUAACCUUGGCGAUUGACGUUACCCGCAGAAGAAGCACCGGCUAACUCCGUGCCAGCAGCCGCGGUAAUACGGAGGGUGCAAGCGUUAAUCGGAAUUACUGGGCGUAAAGCGCACGCAGGCGGUCUGUCAAGUCGGAUGUGAAAUCCCCGGGCUCAACCUGGGAACUGCAUUCGAAACUGGCAGGCUAGAGUCUUGUAGAGGGGGGUAGAAUUCCAGGUGUAGCGAUGAAAUGCGUAGAGAUCUGGAGGAAUACCGGAGGCGAAGGCGGCCCCCUGGACAAAGACUGACGCUCAGGUGCGAAAGCGUGGGGAGCAAACAGG
rnacentral:rRNA from 1 species